AGGGAAUCUUCCACAAUGGACGAAAGUCUGAUGGAGCAACGCCGCGUGAGUGAUGAAGGUUUUCGGAUCGUAAAACUCUGUUGUAAGGGAAGAAACCACAGAUUUCUAUUUGUGUUGACGGUACCAGAUGAAUAAGCACCGGCUAACUCCGUGCCAGCAGCCGCGGUAAUACGGAGGGUGCGAGCGUUAUCCGGAUUUACUGGGUUUAAAGGGUGCGUAGGCGGGCUAUUAAGUCAGAGGUGAAAUCUCCGGGCUCAACCUGGAAACUGCCUUUGAUACUAUUAGCCUUGAAUUAUGUUGAGGUUGGCGGAAUAUAACAUGUAGCGGUGAAAUGCUUAGAUAUGUUAUGGAACACCGAUUGCGAAGGCAGCUGGCUAAACAUAUAUUGACGCUGAUGCACGAAAGCGUGGGUAGCGAACA
rnacentral:rRNA from 1 species